rnacentral:misc_RNA from 1 species
GUGAUUAAAUUCGAGCGUGUCUUCAUUGACCGCUCACCCUUCUCACCAUCCACAUACACCUGUGCACUGUUUAGCCUGAGCCGGUUUUCCGGUCCAGGUUAUCAUUUCAUACAAACUCUAGUCUUAUGAAUGUAAACGUUUUAAUAACAUAAU